rnacentral:rRNA from 1 species
UACGGAGGGGGGCUAGCGUUGUUCGGAAUUACUGGGCGUAAAGCGCACGUAGGCGGCUUUGUAAGUUAGAGGUGAAAGCCCAGGGCUUAACCCUGGAAUUGCCUUUAAGACUGCAUCGCUAGAAUCGUGGAGAGGUGAGUGGAAUUCCGAGUGUAGAGGUGAAAUUCGUAGAUAUUCGGAAGAACACCAGUGGCGAAGGCGACUCACUGGACACGUAUUGACGCUGAGGUGCGAAAGUGUGGGGAGCAAACAGG